rnacentral:rRNA from 1 species
AGAGUUUGAUCAUGGCUCAGAUUGAACGCUGGCGCAGGGCCCAACACAUGCAAGUCGAGCGGAUGAAGGAGCUGCUCCUGGAUUCAGCGGCGGACGGUGAGUAAUGCCCAGGAAUCUGCCUGGUAGUGGGGGAUUACGUCCGGAAACGGGCGCCUAAUCACCGCACGUCCUGAGGGAGAAAGUGGGGAUCUUCGGACCUCACGCCAUCAGAUGAGCCUAGGUCGGAUUAGCUAGUUGGUGGGGUAAAGGCCUACCAAGGCGACGAUCCGUAACUGGUCUGAGAGGAUGAUCAGUCACACUGGAACUGGAGAGACACGGUCCAGACUUUGCCAGGAGGCAGUGAAAUGAAGGACGGGCGAAAGCCUGAUCCAGCCAUGCCGCAUGGCGGGAAGGUCUUCGAUUGUAAGCACUUUAAGUUGGGAGGAAGGCAGGUUAAACCUUGCUGUUUGACGUUACCACAGAAUAAGCACCGGCUAACUUCGUGCCAGCAGCCGCGGUAAUACGAAGGUGCAAGCGUUAAUCGAAUCACUGGGCAAGCGCGUAGGUAAGGUUCAGCAAGUUGGAUGAAAUCCCCGGGCUCAACCUGGGAACUGCAUCCAAAACCACUGAGCCAGAGAAUAACGGUAGAGUAGUGGUGGAAAUUUCCUGUGUAGCGGUGAAACGCGCAGAUGGAAGGAACACCAGUGGCGAAGGCGACCACCCGGACUGAUACUGACACUGAGUGCGAAAGCGUGGGAGCAAACAGGAUUAGAUCCCUGGUAGUCCACGCCGUAAAUCGAUGUCGACCAGCCGUGAAGUCCUGAGAUCAGUGGCGCAGCUAACGCGAUAAGUCGACCGCCGGGGAGUACGGCCGCAAGGUUAAACUCAAAUGAAUUGACGGGGCCCGCACAAGGGUGGAGCAUGGUCGAAUUCGAAGCAACGCGAAGAAACCUGGCCUUGACAUGCUGAGAACUUUCCAGAGAUGGACGGUGCCUUCGAACUGUAGACAGGUGCCGCAUAAUGGCUGUCGUCAGCUCGUGUCGAGAUGUUGCUGUCCCGUAACGAGCGCAACCUCUUGUCCUUAGUUACCAGCACCCGGGUGGGCACUCCAGACUGCCGGUGACAAACCGGAGGAAGGUGGGAUGACUGGUCAUCAUGGCCCUUUACGGCCAGGGCGCCACGUGCUACAAUGGUCGGUACAAAGGGCGCAAGCCGCGAGGUGGAGCUAAUCCCAUAAAACCGAUCGUAGUCCGGAUCGCAGUCUAAACUCCGCCUGCGAAGUCGGAAUCGCUAGUAAUCGUGAAUCCAGAAUGUCACGGUGAAUACGUUCCCGGGCCUUGUACACACCGCCCGUCACACCAUGGAGUGGGUUGCUCCAGAAGUAACGAAUAGUCUAACCGCAAGGGGACGGUUACCACGGAGUGAUUCAUGACUGGGUGAAGUCGUAACAAGGUAGCCGUAGAGAACCUGCGGCUG